rnacentral:tRNA from 1 species
GCAGGCAUAGCUCCGUGGUAGAGCGCAUGCUUAGCAUGCACAAGGUCCUGGGUUCAAUCCCCAGUGCCUCCA